AUGAUAGCUAGUAAGUGUCUGAGGCUGGAUUUGAAUUUGGGGGGUCUUGACUCCAAGCCCAGCAAACAGGCACCCCCACACACACACAACCUCUUUCUCCUACUUCCUCCUCUCUCUCUUCUCUUCUCUUCUCUUCUUUCUCUUCUCUUCUCUUCUUUCUCUUCUUUUCUUUCUCUUCUCUUCUCUUCUUUUCUUUCUCUUCUCUUUUCUUUCUUUCUCUUCUCUUCUUUUCUUUCUCUUCUCUUCUCUUCUUUCUCUUCUCUUCUUUCUUUCUCUUCUUUUCUUUUCUUUCUCUUCUCUUCUUUUCUCCUCUUUUCUUUCUCUUCUCUUCUUUCUUUCUCUUCUUUCUCUUCUUUUCUUUUCUUUCUCUUCUCUUCUCUUCUCUUCUUUCUUUCUCUUCUUUUCUUUCUCUUCUCUUCUCUUCUUUCUCUUUUCUUUCUCUUCUCUUCUCUUCUCUUCUUUUCUUUCUCUUCUCUUCUCUUCUUUCUUUCUCUUCUUUCUCUUCUUUUCUUUCUCUUCUCUUCUCUUCUUUUCUUUCUCUUCUCUUUCUCUUCUUUUCUCUUCUCUUCUCUUCUUUCUUUCUCUUCUUUUCUUUCUCUUCUCUUCUCUUCUCUUCUUUCUCUUUUCUUUCUUUUCUUUUCUUUCUCUUCUCUUCUCUUCUUUCUUUCUCUUCUUUUCUUUCUCUUCUCUUCUCUUCUCUUCUUUCUCUUUUCUUUCUCUUCUCUUCUCUUCUCUUCUUUUCUUUCUCUUCUCUUCUCUUCUUUCUUUCUCUUCUUUCUCUUCUUUUCUUUUCUUUCUCUUCUCUUCUCUUCUUUUCUUUCUCUUCUCUUUCUCUUCUUUUCUCUUCUCUUCUCUUCUCUUCUCUUUCUCUUCUUUUCUUUCUCUUCUCUUCUCUUCUCUUCUUUCUCUUUUCUUUCUCUUCUCUUCUCUUCUCUUCUUUUCUUUCUCUUCUCUUCUUUCUCUUUUCUUUCUCUUCUCUUCUUUUCUUUCUCUUCUCUUCUCUUCUUUCUUUUUUUCUCUUCUUUCUCUUCUCUUCUCUUCUUUCUCUUCUUUUCUUUCUCUUCUCUUCUCUUCUCUUCUUUCUCUUUUCUCUUCUCUUUCUUCUCUUCUCUUCUUUCUCUUCUCUUCUCUUCUCUCUUCUCCCUCUCUCCCUCUCUCUCUCUUUAUGCAGAAGAGUCAAAGUUUGAAUUCAGAGGCUAG
rnacentral:lncRNA from 1 species